UACGUAGGGGGCGAGCGUUGUCCGGAGUUACUGGGCGUAAAGCGCUUGUAGGCGGUCCACCACGUUUGGGGUGACAGUUGCCGACUUAAUCGGCAAAGUGCCUCAAAGACUGGCGGACUUGAGGGCCACAGAGGGACAUGGAACUCCAGGUGUAGUGGUGAAAUGCGUAGAUAUCUGGAGGAACACCAAUGGCGAAGGCAGCUCGCUGGGACGGUACUGACGCUGAGACGCGAAAGCGUGGGGAGCAAACAGG
rnacentral:rRNA from 1 species